GAAAAACCUAGGGACUGUAGGAUUCCCUCUCCUCAUUUCCCUUUUCUUCUUUCUCACAGAAAUACGCCUUCACAUUAAAGAAGGAAGGUUCAGCUCAUCAGGAGAAGCAAUUCAGUCCUUGCAAUUUAUCAAGGUCUGAGUCUGUAUUGCUGUGUUCCUGCCCAUCCUCCUGACUCUAGCUUCAAGAAAGUCAUCAUGUCUCAUGGUCAGAAGAC
rnacentral:lncRNA from 1 species